UUCGAUAAAAAUAGGAUUUCGUGUUAUGAAAAGAGAAGGCACUAAAAGUAACUCAUUCUGUAUACAGUUCUUUUUAGCUUUCAAAUUUCAUCAACUUCUUUUAAUCUACACCAGCCAAUAUAUAUAUAUAUUUGUGGCGUAUGUAUAUCGUCGACAUAAAAAAGAUGGGAACAAUUAAGCUAAACGAGGGACCAUGUGUUGAAGAACCAUCGAUGCAAGGGACGUAUAGUUCUG
rnacentral:misc_RNA from 1 species